GUGGUAGUUUGUCGCGUGGCUGCGUUACGUGUGCAUCUGUAUUGCAAGCUGAGGCGUACUGGUGAGGUGGAAGAGGCGUGUUAAGAGUGCAGGUGGAGUGGUGUCACAGACGGAGUAGGGAAGUCACAGCUACGGCCUCUCAUCAUCUAUCCCUCGCUGCUCAGGUGAAAGGCUGGCCGCCCUUCGCCUGCCUCCGCCCGCCCGCCAGCCUGUCAGCCCGUAACGCGAAGUGUCAGUGGCGGCCCUCGCAGAAGCCGCCACGGUCAGCCUGUCUGGGCAGCCGGUUUUGUUUCUUCUCGAGAUUUAGACUUUUUCCUUAACGUUACUUCAGGGACUCUACUGGAGAAGGCGAGCGAAAGAGGGGUGGAUGGGGAGAGGGAAGGCUAGAUUCACAGGGUAAGCUCUGCUUGCAGCUUGAGGCACACAGCAAGGGUGCGUGUGUUGGUGUGCUGCGGCGAAGCGAGAGGGCAUCCCGCCGCCAUGUUCACACCAGCGGACCGUGGAGGAUCGCCGCUGUGCAGGAGUCAAUAUUCGCCAACGAGCACCGAGCGGCUCGUUAUGUGAAUAUAUGAUAAUUCGAUUUUGUAAAGCAGGCACCGUAAUUGUUUUCCAGUGCAGUAAAUAUAUAGUAACUGUCCAAUCGAUGCAAAUCUGAAUGUUAUGAAGCGGCUUGCGAGGCGGGGGUCUGGCGGUGCUAUGUGUGCGGCAGGCGCAGCGCCAGGCUCAGGCUGCCGCGUGAGUCUUACGUCAGGAUGCGGCGCCGCAGUAGCUCUGUCUGGCAAGAGUGUUACAAUGUUGCUGUGGCGCCGACGCAGACUGUUCCCAGGGCUAAGGGGUAUUUAGUCGCCAGGAGCGACACCUGCGGCCCGGCAGCGCGGUGGUGCCCAAGGCCACGCCCUUGCUGCUCUCCUGCAGUCACUUCCUCUCUUCCUCACUUGUGAAAAAAAAAAAAAUGCCUCCACGUAAUAAUUUUGAAUUGCGGGUAAACUAAGGGAAAUCUCUGUGUUUAGGAGAAAUACGGCAUGUCAAUAGCCGUCCAUUAAGUUACCUUAGAAUAUGCAACGUGGCACAUGGGUAGAGGAUGCAAUUUAAAAUUCCCAACACCCAAUCUUCAAUAAACUAAAAUGCUAAAUAUAUUAUAUACUUGAGACAUAAUAAUAGGCAUUACAAACACUAUAUCAAUCACUGUAAUCAAGAUGGCGAGGUCGGCCCGCCCCACACGCGGCCCGCCCCGACUCUUCCUCCGACCACCAAACCAAAGUUGUUAUUUUAAUUCUCCUCGCUGUGUCUGCAUCUCAAAUACAUUAUUUCUUGCCAAUAUUCUUUUGUUUUCUCCUAAUGCAAAUGGCGCGGGCUAGUACGUCAACCCGACGGUAAAAUAUUUAAGUCUGUGGAGGCAAAUCUCCCGUGCGCGGCCACCCGGCCCCGCCCUUGCCAGGGGCGUGACGGAUGGCGCUGGCAGGGGACGCACCGCCUCGCCCCGCCCCACACCGCCACCUGCAAGGCUGCAACCGAGCGCCGCGCCGCGAAGGAAGCGUACGAGGGCGGCCCGAGGGAAAUGAGAAAGGAACAAGGGUGUCCCACUCACAAGGAGAAGCCUGAGGAGAAGAGAGGAGGGCGGAGAGAAGGCCGGCAGGGUAGUGGGCGUGGCCUGGCCGGGCGGACUGCGGACAGGGAAGGACAACACAUUUUCCGACCUUCAGCAUCCCGGGGUCACGGCCGCCGGUGCCGUGUGG